AUUGAACGCUGGCGGCAGGCCUAACACAUGCAAGUCGAGCGAGCGGCGGACGGGUGAGUAAUGUAUGGGGACUGCCCGAUAGAGGGGGAUAACUACUGGAAACGGUAGCUAAUACCGCAUACUAUCGGAUAACCCAUAUGGGAUUAGCUAGUAGGUGAGGUAAUGGCUCACCUAGGCGACGAUCCCUAGCUGGUCUGAGAGGAUGAUCAGCCACACUGGGACUGAGACAAGGCACAGACUCCUACGGAGGCAGCAGUGGGGAAAAUUGCACAAUGGGGGAAAAGCUGAUGCAGCCAUGCAGCGGGGAUGGAGAAGGCCCUAGGGUUGUAAAGGACUUUCAGUCGGGAGGAGGUAACGAAAGAAGAAGCACCGGGUAACUCCGUGCCAGCAGCCGCGGUAAUUC
rnacentral:rRNA from 1 species